GCAGUCUUCUUGCACAAUCAAUUGAACUCCUUUUGCUUGAUUUUGUUUUGAAAUACAUCAAUUUUCCUUUAGUUCUGUUGCUCUGUUCUGAGGAACACUUUGGUUUGUUUCCAUGCCCUGAAAUGUCAAAAUUAGUACAGCUGCAUUGCAGAUCAACAGACAAUUAAUUGCAUUGAUUCCAUCCUAGCAUUAUAUCAUGUUUUUUGAUUUUAAAGAGCAUAAACUUUUUUUAUGUACAUACUCUGAUCUAACUAACGGAAUGAGGAACAACAGCUGUGAAACUUGACAGCUGUUCUGGGCACCUGCUUCCUGGAGGCUGUGGCAACGAUGGUCUGCGCAUCGAUCACAAAUGACUGUGCCUGGAUUCUCUGUUGAUGAAGUGAGUCAACUCCAGUAAUCCACUACCAAACCUCUUGUGACCUCAUCAUCAUCAUCCAGAAGCUCUGCAUGGCCGAGGCAACUUCAGUCCAUCAUAGAGUGGCUGCUCUCCCCUGUCACCUAAAUCACUCCAGCCUCCAUGUGGGGAUCAUACUGCUGUCUGCCUACUCCAGGCCUCCCUGGGAAGACUGUGCUGAGUGUCUACACUGCUGUUUGGAUUCUUCAAUAAGAAAAAUCCUCCUGUUCCUUGUGUUUUCAUUGACACCCUAGUGACCCGAGACCUUUCGCUUUUUGGAUUGACUGCAUUCCAGGAACGAUCUGUUGUGGAUCUGGCAUCUCUGCUAGGGGAAGAAGAAAUAUAGAAAUAAAAAUGACAGUCGGAGGUGCCCCUGGACCUCUGAGAUGCUUCAGUCAGCACCCUCACACAGACACUUCGAGAUUUAGAUUUAGAGAUCAUGCGCUGCAGGCCACAUGUUAAUUACCUCUGAGCUGCACACUCACUUUGUUAAUGUGAAUCGGAACAGUUGAGGAAUUUGUUACACCAUCAAUAUUAAUACAAACAAACAUAAUUAUUAUGCACUGUUUUAUGGAUCAAGCAGAGCAAACCAAAAGCAAACCGUUAUGUGUACAAAUUUAUCUGGCUGCAUGCACCCAGAAUUUCUACCAGUUAAUCAAUGAACAACAUGCCCUUAAAUCACAUUUAAGUUGCCAAUUAAGGCUUUUAUCCUCCUUUGACAAAAAUAAUAAUAAAAUAAACUUACAAGGUCA